rnacentral:rRNA from 1 species
ACUCAAAUGAAUUGACGGGGACCCACACAAGCGGUGGAGCAUGGGGUUUAAUUCGAUGACAAGCGAAGCACCUCACCCAGGCUUGACAUCCUAGAAAUACUGAAGAAAUUUGGUAGUGCCGCAAGGAAUCUAGAGACAGGCGCUGCACGGUCGUCGUCAGCUCGUGCCUUGAGGUGUACUGUUAAGUCAGCCAACGAGCGCAACCCUAAUCUCAUGUUGUUUUUUCAUGAGAGACUGCCGCCUCCAAGGCGGAGGAAGGUUAGGAUGACGUCAGAUCAGCGUGGCCCUUAUGCCUGGGGCAACACCCGUGCUACAAUGGUCGGUACAAACGGCAGCCAACCCGCGAGGGUGAGCAAAUCCGAUAAAACCGAUCUCAGUUCGGAUUGAAGUCUGCAACUCGACUUCAUGAAGUUGGAAUCGCUAGUAACCGUGAAUCAGCUACGUCACGGUGAAUAUGUUCCUGGGUCUUGUACACACCGCCCGU